CCGUUGCCGGCGACCGGCGCACGGGUGAGUAACACGUAUGCAACCUGCCCGUGGCAGGGGGAUAAGCGGGGGAAACCCCGUCUAAUACCGCGUAACGCGGCCUUGGGGCAUCCCAAGGCCGCCAAAGGGAGCAAUCCCGGCCACGGAUGGGCAUGCGGCGCAUUAGCUAGUCGGCGGGGUAACGGCCCNCCGAGGCGACGAUGCGUAGGGGUUCUGAGAGGAAGGCCCCCCACACUGGUACUGAGACACGGACCAGACUCCUACGGAAGGCAGCAG
rnacentral:rRNA from 1 species